CAGCAGCCGCGGUAAUACGUAGGGUGCGAGCGUUAAUCGGAAUUACUGGGCGUAAAGCGUGCGCAGGCGGUUGUGUAAGACAGGUGUGAAAUCCCCGGGCUUAACCUGGGAACUGCGCUUGUGACUGCACAGCUAGAGUAUGGCAGAGGGGGGUGGAAUUCCACGUGUAGCAGUGAAAUGCGUAGAGAUGUGGAGGAACACCGAUGGCGAAGGCAGCCCCCUGGGCCAAUACUGACGCUCAUGCACGAAAGCGUGGGGAGCAAACAGGAUUAGAUACCCCCGUAGUCCCUGUCUCUUAUAC
rnacentral:rRNA from 1 species